AUGGCCGAGUUAAAAACAGGCAAAAGAUUUUUAAUCUUUUUACGGUUUUAUAACCUUUGCGUU
rnacentral:tRNA from 1 species